AAAAACAUUUGGUUGAAUGAGUUAGUGUUUGAUAAAAUAGUGUGAUGAUGAGAGAUAAUUUAAGAAAGAAUUUAUUUGCUUAACGUAUUUGAGUUUUAUGUUAAACACUAAACUAAAAUAAAUGAGUGAGAAAGUCUGAUUUGGAAUAAAUUAUAAGAAAAAUUGCUUAAACUACCAUUUUUCUAAUACAUGAUUUUAUGUUUACCUUAACCAAAUUUAUCUUUAGUUUUAAAGAGGUAGAUUCUACUAUAUAUUAAUUGAGAAGAUUAAGUUUUUAAAAAUAGUUAUAAUUUGAUUAGUUGUUAACAUUUAUUAGUUAUUAUUUUAAUCAGAUCUAAAAAUAAAAAGUACUUCUAGAACUAAUUAAUGCAAAUUACCAAAUAAUGCAAAUGAUAUUACAAAUAAU
rnacentral:lncRNA from 1 species